rnacentral:rRNA from 1 species
UACGGGGGGGGGCAAGCGUUGUUCGGAAUUACUGGGCGUAAAGGGCGCGUAGGCGGCCUUCUAAGUCGAACGUGAAAUCCCCGGGCUCAACCCGGGAACUGCGUCCGAGACUGGAAGGCUCGAAUCCGGGAGAGGGAUGUGGAAUUCCAGGUGUAGCGGUGAAAUGCGUAGAUAUCUGGAGGAACAUCGGUGGCGAAGGCGGCGAUCCUGGACCGGUAGUUGACGCUGACGGCGCGAAAGCCAGGGGAGCAAAGC